GGUUUGGUGGUCUAGUGGUAUGAUUCUCGCUUAGGGUCCACCCUUUGCUAUAGCAUGCGAGAGGUCCCGGGUUCAAUCCCCGGCCAAACCC
rnacentral:tRNA from 1 species